UGUCUCCACACUGCAGACUCAAGAUACAUCUAUCCAUAAGAGAGGUGAUCCAUGCAUCGAUCUUAAAUGGAUUGAUCACUAUCUUUCAUGAUGAUCUUUCAAUCGAAAGUAUUUUCAAAUUAACCACUAAUAAUGUAUGUCUUAAAUUUUCAAUACUUUGAGAAUAUACAAAAUUAUUUUUAUUAAUUUCUAAGAUAAAUCAUGAACACAUACAAUAUGAUUGGUAAAAGUUGCUCGAUUAGUAUAAAAAAUAUCCUAGAGAAAUAUAUGCAUCAGUCAAGAUU
rnacentral:lncRNA from 1 species